CGUGAACAAGGCUGAAAUCAUGUUUAAGAGUCUGUGGUGAUCUUCUCAAACAGACGAGGUGGUUUUGCUAAGUGAUGGGUGUAAAAGAGAAAGGGAGGGGAGCAGAUGUGGAUUUGGGCUUUGUGGUUUUACAAGGAUUUCUUUACAUACAGACCAUAAUUUAAGACCUUUGCUGUGAAAUUCCCAUUUUCUGCAAUACACUGCCAUUCAAAAAGUGAAUACUUUUAUUCUUCAAGGACACAUUAAAUCGAUCAGAUUAACUGUUACAAAAGAUUUCUGUUUCUAAGAAAUGCUGUUUCUAACUUUCUAUUCAUCAAAGAAUCCUGACGAAAAAUGUGUCAUGGUUUUAACAAAAAUAUUAUGCUGAAAAAAUGAUCUUUAAAAAAAAUGGGAAGUUUGCAGGUUAAAAUACGCAAAAAUAAGCAGCAUAACACUGACAAUAAUAAGAAAUAUUACUUGUCCACCAAAUACAGCAUAUUUCUCCGACUCAGAAUUAUUUUUUUUUUAAAUCUAAAUUUAAAUACCCCAAAUUUCAAAUGAAUUCCUGUGAAUUCCCAUGAUGUUUCCAGCUUUGCAUAUUUCCAAAAUUCUCCAGCUUAUCUUACCCAACUUAAUUUACUGGAAAUGUUCUGGCCCUUUGCAACCCUAGUUUUGCAUGAUGGGGGGACCUAUCCAAAAAUGUUUGUGUGAACAGGUUAGUUAUUCCUAACUGAUGUUUUUGAUUCAGAUUCGGGCUGCUUAAUUUUAAUCGUAUUCAUCCAAUUGCGUUAAUACUGAUUCAAUUUCACAAUUUAGUUGUGAAAUUUUGUGUUGAGGCUUGUUGCUGUAUUGCUUGAAUGUACAUUUAAUGGACCUUGAGUUGAUAUAUGAGUCAGAUUUUUUCUCUCCCUACUUUCUUUCUUUUCAGAUCACAGUUCUUAUUCAGCUGGAAGAAAUGGCAGUUACAUAAAGAAUGCUGUGGAACUACAGUUUGCAAUCCUCCAUGUUAUUCCUUCCCCAAGACUGGAAUGAUGGAAGGAAUUUCAGCAUGUACGGUAAUAAUGAAAAUCACCUUCUUUCUCAUUCUUUGCUUUUAUAUCUUGACCUCUCUCUCAUACAUUAUGACUGAAGGGGAUUUCCAGCAUUUCAUGUUUCUUUGAUGUUUAGAAAUAAUGAUUUGAAUAUUAGAGACAAGAAAUCUGAUAAAACAUGGUCAUAUUUCACCACAAGAUCAGAGAGAAAAAAAUAAUAUAAUAUAUGAAAAUGAAGUCUAUUUUUUGUCAAUUUUCAUUACAAUUAAACUCCAAAUUUUUAGGAUGUUUGACUUAUAAAAGUUUCCAUUAUUUUCAAUAAUGAUACUUUUAAGUACUCUAAUAGCGUGCUGUUGGGGUGGGUGCUCAGGAGUAUUGAACUGAGUUAUUUUUGCUGCUUUAAAAUGACCAUCUUUUAAAGUAUCCUCAUAAAUUUAGGUCUUAAAGGUGCAAUAGGUAACUGUCUCCAGAAACAUUUUUUGUUAUGCUUUUUGAAAGUCCAUGAAUAUAUGUAUUCAUAUAUUCUGUGGAAGGUGCAGGACCAAGAAAUGUUCAUCCAAUCAAAAUGCUCGGAACGAAAAUGCUCUGCAGACAGAGCGAGAAUGGCAGGCAAACACCAACAACCUGAUCUUCCUUCCUGGUAUUGUAGUAAUUUUACUAAAUGUGCUAUAAGGAUAACACAUGAUGUAUUGUAGUAAUGUUGUCUCUGAUCGUCUGAUAUGCGUUCAGGAGGCGUGGCUUUGGACGGCGAUUUGCAGGGAGGUGGGAUGUUCACUUUCAGUGCUAUCAAAGCUAAAGUAAGCAUUUUCCAAGAUCUCCUACUGCACCUUUAAGUGAAAGGUGUCUUCAUUGAGUUAGUGUUAUUAUUGUUUUUUGAAUUGAAGCUAGUAUUAGUUUUUGGUGUGAAAUUUCUAUGUUAUCAUGAAGAGCUUAUUUAAAGCAAAAAUAACUAUAUUGUGAUAUAUAUUGUUAAUAGCUAUAUCGUGAUAUAAGAUUUUGGUCAUAUCGCCCACCACUACUGUGCUGUAAUACAAAUAUUUUUAUUGCAUAAACAGUUCUGCAAAUAAUAUACCAUGAUGUUUCUUUCCUGCAUAAAAAAGAUUUUUUGCAUUUAA
rnacentral:lncRNA from 1 species